UACGUAGGGUGCGAGCGUUGUCCGGAAUUAUUGGGCGUAAAGGGCUCGUAGGCGGUUUGUCGCGUCGGGAGUGAAAUCCACUGGCUUAACUGGUGGCUUGCUUUCGAUACGGGCAGACUGGAGGUAUGCAGGGGAGAACGGAAUUCCUGGUGUAGCGGUGAAAUGCGCAGAUAUCAGGAGGAACACCGGUGGCGAAGGCGGUUAGCUGGGCAGUUGCUGACACUGAGGCGCGACAGCCAGGGGAGCAAACGGG
rnacentral:rRNA from 1 species